AGUGAACGCUGGCGGUAGGCCUAACACAUGCGAGUCGAACGGCAGCACAGUAAGAGCUUGCUCUUACGGGUGGCGAGUGGCGGACGGGUGAGGAAUACAUCGGAAUCUACUUUUUCGUGGGGGAUAACGUAGGGAAACUUACGCUAAUACCGCAUACGACCUACGGGUGAAAGCAGGGGAUCUUCGGACCUUGCGCGAUUGAAUGAGCCGAUGUCGGAUUAGCUAGUUGGCGGGGUAAAGGCCCACCAAGGCGACGAUCCGUAGCUGGUCUGAGAGGAUGAUCAGCCACACUGGAACUGAGACACGGUCCAGACUCCUACGGGAGGCAGCAGUGGGGAAUAUUGGAUAAUGGGCGCAAGCCUGAUCCAGCCAUACCGCGUGGGUGAAGAAGGCCUUCGGGUUGUAAAGCCCUUUUGUUGGGAAAGAAAAGCAGCAGGUUAAUACCCCGCUGUUCUGACGGUACCCAAAGAAUAAGCACCGGCUAACUUCGUG
rnacentral:rRNA from 1 species